GAUGAAGAACGCAGCGAAAUGCGAUAAGUAAUGUGAAUUGCAGAAUUCAGUGAAUCAUCGAAUCUUUGAACGCACCUUGCGCCCGCCAGUAUUCUGGCGGGCAUGCCUGUUCGAGCGUCAUUACAACCCUCAAGCCCCCCGGCUUGGUGUUGGGGACCGGCCACCGGUGCCCUGCUGCUUCCGCGGCAGGCGCACCCGGCCGCCCCCGAAAUGAAUUGGCGGCCCCGCCGCGGCCUCCCUCUGCGUAGUAGCACACAUCUCGCAGCUGGAGCGCGGCGCGGCCACUGCCGUAAAACGCACCAACUUUUUUUACAGUUGACCUCGAAUCAGGUAGGAAUACCCGCUGAACUUAAGCAUAUCAAUAAGCGGAGGA
rnacentral:misc_RNA from 1 species